rnacentral:rRNA from 1 species
UGAGUAACACGUAUACCAACCUGCCGAUGACUACCGGGNAGUAGCCUUUCGAAAGAAAGAUUAAUACCCGAUGGCAUAGUUCUUCCGCAUGGUAGAACUAUUUAAAGAAUUUCGGUCAUCGAUGGAGAUGCGUUCCAUUAGCUUGUUGGCGGGUAACGGCCCACCAAGGCAUCGAUGGAUAGGGGUUCUGAGAGGAAGGUCCCCCACAUUGGAACUGAGACACGGUCCAAACUCCUACGGAAGGCAGCAG